rnacentral:rRNA from 1 species
UACGGAGGGUGCAAGCGUUACUCGGAAUUACUGGGCGUAAAGCGUGCGUAGGUGGUUCGUUAAGUCUGAUGUGAAAGCCCACGGCUUAACCGUGGAGGGUCAUUGGAGACUGGUCGACUUGAGUGCAGAAGAGGGAAGUGGAAUUCCAUGUGUAGCGGUGAAAUGCGUAGAUAUUAGGAGGAAUACCAGUGGCGAAGGCGACUUUCUGGACACAAACUGACGCUGAGGUACGAAAGCGUGGGGAGGCAAACAGGAUUAGAUACCCGGGUAGGUCCCU